rfam:Ovis aries breed Texel chromosome 5, whole genome shotgun sequence.
UCCCUGGUGGUCCAGCAGUUAGGACUCCACACUCCUAAUGUAGGAGGCCCGGGUUCGAUCCCUGGUCAGGGAA